rnacentral:rRNA from 1 species
UUAUGGCUCAGGAUGAACGCUAGCUACAGGCUAACACAUGCAAGUCGAGGGGCAGCAUGAUCUUAGCUUGCUAAGAUUGGAUGGCGACCGGCGCACGGGUGAGUAACGCGUAUCCAACCUUCCCCUUAGUAGGGCAUAGCCCGUAGAAAUGCGGAUUAAUACCCUAUGUUGUAUAGUUGAGGACAUCUGAUUUAUACCAAAGGUUCACCGCUAAGGGAUGGGGAUGCGUCGUGAUUAGGUAGUCGGCGGGGUAACGGCCCACCGAGCCUACGAUCAGUAGGGGUUCUGAGAGGAAGGUCCCCCACAUUGGAACUGAGACACGGUCCAAACUCCUACGGGAGGCAGCAGUGAGGAAUAUUGGUCAAUGGGCGAGAGCCUGAACCAGCCAAGUAAGCGUGCAGGAUGACGGCCCUAUGGGUUGUAAACUGCUUUUAUACGGGGAUAAAGUGAGGGACGUGUCCCUUUUUGUAGGUACCGUAUGAAUAAGGACCGGCUAAUUCCGUGCCAGCCGCAGC